rnacentral:rRNA from 1 species
GACGAACGCUGGCGGCGUGCCUAACACAUGCAAGUCGAGCGGAGUCAGUAAGAGGAAGUUUUCGGAUGGAAUCUUAUUGAUUUAGCGGCGGACGGGUGAGUAACGCGUGAGCGACCAACCUUGCACAGGGGGAUAACGGACCGAAAGGUUCACUAAUACCGCAUGAGACCACGGUGUUGCAUGACACAGGGGUCAAAGGAGUAAUCCGGUGCAAGACGGGCUCGCGUCCGAUUAGGUAGUUGGAGGGGUAACGGCCCACCAAGCCUAUGAUCGGUAGCCGACCUGAGAGGGUGAUCGGCCACAUGGGGACUGAGAUACGGUCCAAACUCCUACGUGAGGCAGCAGUGGGGAAUAUUGGGCAAUGGGGGAAACCCUGACCCAGCAACGCCGCGUGAAGGAAGAAGGUUUUCGGAUUGUAAACUUCUGUCCUUGGUGAAGAGAAGAAGACGGUAGCCAAGGAGGAAGCCCCGGCUAACUACGUGCCAGCCGCCGCCGUAA